GACGUAGGUGGCGAACGUUAUCCGGAAUUAUUGGGCGUAAAGGAUGCGUAGAUGGUGUAGUAAGUUAUCGGUGGCAAAUCGAGGCUCAACCUCGUGGAAGUCGGUAAUACUGCUAUGCUAGAGGAUAGGAGAGGUUAACGGAACUCCCUGUGGAGCGGUGAAAUGCGUAGAUAUAGGGAAGAACACCAAUAAGGCGAAGGCAGUUAACUAGUCUACUCCUGACAUUGAGGCAUGAAAGCGUGGGGAGCAAAACGG
rnacentral:rRNA from 1 species